rnacentral:lncRNA from 1 species
UCACUCACAAAACGGACAUAAAAGGUGGACACCACAGGCCUCAGCAUCUCAGUGCUGACUGCAUCCAGCGUUCGCCGUCAACAGUCAAGGUUGUCCAAGGUUCAGUGGUUUGAACACUCCCAAAACUGUCAGAAUGAAGAUGAGCAUCAUUGUUCUGCUUGCCCUUGUGGUUGUGGCCGCCGCUUCUAUCGAGAAGCGAACUUUAUUCAAAAUUCCCAGCGUUGGUGAACUAGUAGACAGCUUGAAGGGAAAAACAUCGGACAAGAACUGGAAGGAGAGUGACUGCAGGAAGGACUGCAGGGCAAUUCUUUUUUGGACUCUUGUGCUCGACGACUUGUGUCCUGCAGCCUGUAAAAUCAUCUUCACAGAUAUCACAGUCUGAGUAAAACACGCAUCUGUGCCAGACCUUCAAGCAACAUGCUCUUCCGGACACACAGUGCACGUGCAUUGAAAGAUGUGAAAUAAAUCUUUGCAAAUGAAA